rnacentral:misc_RNA from 1 species
AGACACACUAAUACAUUCCUACAAUGCAGGUGCUCUUCUCUCCGAUAACAAGGCGUGGCGCACCAGUCGGAGUGCGCAUGCAACGUUAGGUGGCGCUUAUAGUCAAGGAAGACUGCGUGUAGCCGAAAAUUUCGGGAACGCAACUGGGAAGUCAGGAAGUGCAGCAUUUCUAAUCAGGUUGCUCACAUCCAUCAAUGUUGAUUGGCCUAUGGUGCUGCAUCCAAUGACUUACCUUAUGCACCAUUCAGCAUAAUCUGCCUUGCCAAUGGAUACUGCUGACGAGCCUAACAUGACGUGCCAUCAGGAUGUGACAAUCCCGUAACUGCACAUUCUUAUGGGCCUGUGUGCUUUGGCCUGGAGCUGUAGUACCAAGCAUUCUUAAAGGACCUUGAGGACAGGUUCAAUUCAGUCACAAAAGCGUUACUUGGCCAGGUUUGCGAAAGCGCGCACUCGUCCGGUAUCUGCAAAAGCUGUGUGCGGGAAACAUGUGACCUCUCCGACCGGAGCUGUCGCCAGCGCCAACAGCUGCCACAGAAACCACUUGCAGCCAAGGAGUAAAAGAGAGAAAUCCGUGCAGCAGAUGAGGAACUUCCUACUCGAAUGGUGUGCGCCCUUGUCCACCACAACAUUUGGGCCUCCGCAGAAGUUGGAGGAGAAGUUAAGGAAAUAGCAUUUUUGCCUUUCACAUGUAAAGUGUUGUCGACACCACUUUGGUUGCACCGAAUCAUGUAAAUAAACACAAUUAGGCAUCUGCGUUGCCUCAUUCUUUAUAAGAAAACCGGGAACACGACUUAGCAGCACCCCUCCAGCGCUUCACCAACCAAGCCGAUGAUAGGAACAUGAAAACGCUUUCAUGUUCCCAUCUCAUAAGAAUAUGCUUAGGGAUCCUCUGCAACCUUUCUUUUUCCUUGUAAUUUCACAUAUUCAAAAAAUAUUUGAGAAAUAUUAAAAAAUUAUUCAAUUCGAUUCACACUCCAACUUUAAUAUUCGAAUUCGCUUCGCACCCAAAAUUUUACUUUUACACAGCUCUACUUAUCUGCCAGUAGCUCUGCGGCAUAGCACUGCUGUCAGUUGUUGAAGAUGGUGGUUGUGCUUCACACUUCCAUGGCGUACAAGUAACGAAGUGAUUCAUAUUCUGUGGAGCAAAAGACAAAUUCCGUUCAAAAUCCAGAGAAAAAUGCAGUCCACAUAUGGGGAAUGCUUUCGGUCCAGUCCACUGAAAAGCUCCUGGCAAGACGAAAGAAGAAUUUUAAGAGCUUGUUUUUCUUUGUUAGACACAACAUUAAUGAGAACUAACAGACAAUAAAGCCAAAGAAAGUAUGGGGGAUGUUAUUUGUAGUAAUUUUGUUGUAAAUUAGAAGAAAGUAAAGUGGAUAAAAAGAUAACUUGCCGCCAGCAGGGACCGAACCUGCAACCUUUGAAUAAUGCAUCCGAUGCUCUACCAAUUGAGCUGACAGCGAUUCACGUGCACCAGAGAAGCCAAGACAGCAAUUCGAUGGUUCCACAGUCAACUGGACAAAUUCGACCACAGGGGCAUCCCAAAUUCGGUGCUGCAAAGGGACAGAUGUCUGAAUUGGUGUGGGGACUAUGUGGAAAAAUAGUGUAAGGUAGGUAAAUAUGUACAUUUGUAAACCUGUAUGUACCUUAUUUUGGCUAAUAAAAAAUGUAGCGGACAGCGUGAUUCCUACUCGAAUGGUGUGCGCCCUUGUCCACCACAACAUUUGGGCCUCCGCAGAAGUUGGAGGAGGAGAAGUUAAGGAAAUAGCAUUUUUGCCUUUCA